GACCUUAGGGUGAAGGGUGGGGAAUUAUUAUUAUUAUAUAUAUAUUAUAUAUAUAUUAUAUUAAAUAGUUUCUAUUUAACAUUUAAACUACAUUAAGUGUGAUUUGUGGAACAUUGUGGAACAGCCUACACACCUAGGCUGAAUAAAGUAUUUAAGUUCAACCAGCUUUGGUUAUUAAAAAAAAAGUAUUUCUGAUAUUUUUGUAAGAUUAACAUGGUCCCCAUUGCUACUUCUGUUUACUUUAUAGUAAAGCUAUCCCAGCAGUGGGGCCUAACACACCAGUCAUGGGAUUUGUGGUAUAGAAUCCCUGGCUAAGCAAGUGUGGGGUUGUUGGUCCUUGUUUGGAUGGGUAAAUAGCUCAUGGAUCUUGUGUUUUGCAGCAUAGUCAUUUAUUGCCAUUUAUACACUCCUUUCCCAGUUAACUGUUCCCAAAGUACCUUAUAAUUAAACCCCAGCACAAAAUGGGCAAAAUCUUAGUGCUUGAUUGAUAGUAUGUCUGUCUCUCCAUGAUGGUUGAUGACCUCAUAGUGCAGAUUGUAGACUCUUCCAAUCACAGGGAGGGCAGUUGAACUGGCGAGGGGCAGAAGGAAUGGAUGGGGAAGAUACCAGCCCACUGCCGUCUCGUAGCUCCGCAGAAUUUCCUGGAUCCAGCAGCUGGAAAAGCUGAUUUUAAUUUUCUAUUCAGCAAGGAGGUGUUAGUGACCUCCACAUGCCUUGCUCCCUUCUCGCAGAAGGGAUUGGGUCCAAAGGGAGAGGCAACCAAGAGGGCAGAGGCAGCAGCGGACAAGGAGAAGGCAGGUGGUUUUAUAACAAGGGGCUCCUAUGGACACACACAGAAGGACUGAUGUCCAAAAGAGUUGGAUUUGGGGGCAAUCCCCACCACACAUGGAGGUAUGUGCCUGUAGAGGUACAACCUCUCCAGCAUUUUGGUGAGGUUCCUUGAUAUAUCAGUGCCGACUUCUGUGGUGUUAGGUACCAUCUAUAGGUAAGUUUCAAGGGGAGAUGGAUUUAGACCACAGUUUAUUCCAUUGGGUAGGGUUUAUUUCACAGUCUAUGUCAUGCUCCCAUUGUUUUUUGAUUAAGAUGAGGGGGUUACUAGGAUUCUGGAGCAGUAUUUUUAUAUUGUGGAUACCCUGUUUUGAGUCUUGGGAGAAAAUAGCUUUGAAUUAGAUCUCUUUAUAAUCCUUUCAAAAUCUUGCCUGCCAUUGUGGUGGGAUGGAAGGCUGCCAUUGUUUAGACCAGCAGUGGGCAAUGCCCUCUCACCCCGUGGGGAGCUGAAGGUGCUAUGAAAGAUGUAUUAAUUAUGUGUUCACACUUUUCUUGCUUUUACUUUUGGGUAGGUUUUUGUAUUGUUUCAAUAACCUGCUUGACCAGAGCGCCUGGUAAGACAUCAACAAAUGUGUAUAUGAGGAAGUGGAACUUUUACUCAAAGCACCCACCUACCCCAGAAAAGUAGGGUGCCAUACUAUUCAGGACUUUUUUUUUUUGUCUAUAUAUGUAUUUGUUUACAUAGUACUUUUUGUCUGUAUAAUUCUAAGCACCAUAUCAUGGGGUCCCUGGUGGUCUCCCAUCUGGGCACCUCAAGUGCCAAGUUUCCCUAUUUUCCAGGGACAGCCCCAGAUUUAUAGAAGCCACUGUGACACCUCCCUCUGCUGGCUCACUGGUCACCAAAGUGCUAAAAGGCCUGGUGAGCUCCUAUGGCUAGAUCAUUUUGCGUUUGUUACAGGAAGAAGAUAGACAUGUACCGUAAGUAGGAUUUCUCUCAGCAUCUGCAUUCUGUGAUGAUAGUGAUUUCCUCUUGAUCUUAGAGGCACUAGAGAGUACUAACUAUGAGUCCCAUUUCUCUUUCUUUUCUGGACUUUCAAGGCUGAGAAAAGUCUUUUCCCGUCUGGGAAGAAAAAAUAAAAUUUCUCCUUUCCCAGCGACCUCCCCCUCGCCCACCACCUCUCCCUCCGCCUCACCUUCCGGACCCCUCUUUCAGAAGACUGCAAAGGUAAAACCCUUCAGUGUAUAGAUGUUGCUUCCAGAGAAAUAGCAGUCCCUAUGGAUUCUUAGGAAAGGUCUCUCUGUAACUGUUUGAGGCCUAUUUUGAUGUUCAGAAAAUAAACAUAUCCCAUGUGGCUCUUUGUUUUUCCUGUACGCUCUGCACACCUCCUGCCAUCCUGACCUGGAGGAAGAUGGCAGGAGGAAGAAAUGCCAAGGAAAACAUGAAGCAUCUCUCCUCAGCAUGGUGCCCUCUAGCAGUUGUUGAGACUCCAGUUCCCAUCCCUGCUGACUAUUGGUGAGGGUAACAACCACCUUGCUGCAGCUAAGAAAACCUGAGUCUAGAUGGGUGGCCACCUGAGAACCACACGUCCGCCACCAUGGGUUCCACGUCACUCUUUUAUUGAAGAGAAGUGGGAGCCCUACAAAGAGAACUGAGCAAGUCCCAACGGGAGCCCUGCAAGCUGCGGAUUGUUUGUGUGUGGGGGUUUGUGCACAUCUUUUCUGCUCAGAAAGUAUUAAUGUAAAAUUUUUGCACCCGCUAUAGGCAUGGCUCCAGCAAGAACAAAACUCUGUGCUGCUCCGAGGUUGGAUUAGGAGUGUGCUCAGAUAAUGACAUCUGAAGAACAAGAUGGCUGGGAGCGGCAGCAGAGUAACCGGGUGGGGGGGGUGUCUUUGAAAGAGAGAAGAGCCAUAAUCCCACUUUGAUACCAAGGGGGGGGGGGAAUGCUUGCAAAGACUCAGUUUGGCACAGAUUAUGCCACUGAUUCCAGAUCCUUUUGGCAGUGCAGAGAGGCCAGCAGAUUCUUUGCUAUGGGCUCUUCUGCACUCUGCUCUUUCUAUAGGUAGCAAGGGUUGAUUUGGCCAGAGAUGUGGUGUGCAUUUUAAGCACUCAGGAGGAGAGUAAUGUGUAGUGUUUCUAGGAGCAUAUGGCACAUUUCUAAGAGAAAAACAGCUUACGUAAUGUGUUCCUGUCUCCCCAGCCUAUUUUAAAAUAUAGGCAUUACCUACGGUUUGGGCAUGAUGCCAGAACACGGUUUGGUGUUCUUUGAGUAAGCUUUGGACAUAUGCACCCCAUCUUCCUUUUUGACACCCCUAAUUGCUGUCAAGCAAGUUGAUCAAUGCAUCCAAAUAGUGUACAAACAAAAAUUUGCUUGCAAACCAGAAUCGGACAUUGUGGCACUUUCCACAACCACAGUUUCCAGGUCUGGUUUGCUGCAAACAUACUAGGUGUUGCAGGGUUUUUGCCUCAUUUGUGAACAACUUGGAAGUCGUGGAAGGGGUUGGAAUGCAGGAAGGGAAGGAGAGCGUGAGCCUGAAGCUUGUUUAUGUAUUGAUAAACCAUGGUUGGACAUUAUGUUUGAACUGAUCCAUUAUGAAAAGUUGGGCUUCUGUUUCAGUAGCUGGGGAUGAAUUCUUAGCAAAGCUUAAAGGCCUGUUGCUGGCUGGAUAUGGUGUAGAUUAAAUUACACACACUCCCCAAAAGCACCAUAGUGUAUUUUAAGUUAGUACUGAUGUUGUUUUCUUAUACCUUAAUAAUAACCAAAGCUUUGUUACCAACCCAGGAGUUUGUGUUUCUAAAAGAAAGAGGGACUGUACCUGUGUCAGCUAUAUUUCUUCUUAAGGGGUUGGACUAGAUGGCCCUCAGGGUACCUUCCAACUCUGCAAUUCUAUUAUUCUAUCCCUCACCAUUAGCUGUGGUGGCUGAGGCUGAUGGGACUUGGGAGUCUAACCUCAUCCCCACACGUUGACUGCAAACUAUUAUGAGGACUAAGCUUACUAAUGAACGGCUCUCAAAGGCCUGCUCCGACUAGGUUUGGUCUCCCUCUCUCUUAUGCCAGAAACUCAGGGCCACCCAAUCAAAUUGAUCAGUAGUAUAUUCAGGACAGACAGAAUGGUAUAGUUGUUCACAAAGCACAUUGUUAACUUGUGGAAUAUGCUGUCCCCAGGUCUGUUGCUAGAUCCUUAGAAAAUAGAAAUUUGCAUAUGCUAAUUUAUUUGAACAGAUGCAAAUUUAGGCCAGCUUUCAGAAAGAGGUUGUAUCGAAUGCUAGCCCUACUAAAGAGUUGACUCAUUGAAACUAAGACACUGAUAACUUAAGCCCACUAAUUUUUAUGGAUCUGCUCUGAGUAGGACUUAGUUGGAUACCACCCAAAGUAUCCUGUAAGCAACGUGUGAGGGGUGGGGUGGAGGGUAAGCAACAGGACCCCUGGCUCCAAGAUCUGUAUUUAUGAAUGUUGUUAGCCACUUUGAGGACUAUAGUUGAAAGGCAGAAUAUAAAUCACUUAAAGAAAUAAUGAAUAAGGUGUGUGUCUGUGUCCGCUAGCUUAUAUGGCUUUAAAAAGAAAUCAGACCAUUUCCUGAAGGGUGAUGUCAGCAGGUAUUGCCUGCAAGAACUAAACAGACCAUUCUGCUUUAGACCAGCUCUUGCCUUCAUGACCUGUGUGUGCUUCCUGGAGGUGUCUGAUUGGCCACUGUGGGGAAUAAGAUAUUGCACUAGAUGGGCCUUUUGGUCUGAACCAGCAGAGCUCUUCUUAAUGUCCUGUCUUCUUCUUGUUUAGGAGUCAGCAUGCAGAGUUUGUGGCUGCCCAGAACUUGGAAGCACUCCAUUGUCAUGGAUCUUGCUUCUCUCCAACCCAGAUUUCAACAAAGAGGGUGAAGGUGGCUAAGCCUUUGCAGAAGAGGCUCAAUCAUAAAAGUUAGCCCCUCACAUUCCGGUGCUCAGUUCACCUGACCCACCCCUUAGAUCAUGGGAAGGUAAUUUUGAUGUGCAUCUGUUGAUGUGACCUAUGGUCACACUAUGAGACCAUAACCUGCCCCAUCCUGGAAUUUAAAAAAGCAGAGGAGUCAGCGGUGUGGAGACUUGCUACCAUCUAAUUAGAUGUUCCAAGGAGCACCUUUGCCAAGUCAAAACUACCAGGAAAAGCUCCACAAAGGGCAAAGGGACAGGAAACAUUUCUGUCCUGGGAUUCAGAAGAGCAUCACCCUCUCUGCCUGAGAAUCUUAAGGUAAGAGCCCUAUGUGUGGCUUGAUGGGAUGGGUUGUAGUAGCUAAUAUUUAUCCUCCCCCAACUUUUUCCCACUAAAAGACGCAUGCCCUCUUUCAGCCUUCAUAAAGCAUGCUUAAAUGGGGUGAAGGGGGGAACAAUGGUAGAGAAGGGUAACACCUCUGCUUCCUUCCUGUAGCUAAGCCAUCCCCCAGUACUACUUGGGCCUGCCUACUCUUCAUGAGGUACGUGCAUCCUCCACCUCCUCUUCUUUCAUUAGCAGCGAGGCGGAGGGGUAUCCUGAGCUCCUGGGUCUCUACCCUACUUGUUGGGGGUGGCCCUGCAGUCUGGAAAAGAAGCAGUUGGCACCCCCUCUCCGCAAGGCAGCGGUGUUUGGAUUGGCUCUGGUUAAAUCCAAGCCUCCCUUUCACAACCAAGGGUUCUUUUCAGUGCCGUACCCCGUACUUGCUGCCACCGGUCAGAGCCCCACCAGAAAAGGAACACUCCCCACUCAGGUGUGGGAGUGUCACAAUAUAAAUAAGUUCUUUCUUCCUUAAAAAAAAAGAAUAUUAUUAUUAUUCUUUAAUAACAAAGAGGAUCAGAGAAGUAUCCGCAUAUUCCCAGCCCCGUUCAGUUCAUUAAUGCUUCUCUUUCUCUUUUAUUUUUUUAAAAAAACUGACAAUAAAUACCCCAUUUCCCAACCCAACCCAAGCUGCCUGAGACCCCCAUUUCUCCUGUUUAUUUGAUGUUGGAGAAGAGAGGAGAGAGAAAAAUAGAAGUAUGACUGAUGCCCUCCCCCAACCCCAAUUAUGCCUAAUGGCGAAUAACUUCGCUUUUGUGGCUUAAAGGAACCAAAUCCUCAUUUUUGUAAAUAAUAUAUUAUUAUCACCCCCUAAUAUUCACCAUCGGAUGCUAGCUGCCCCCUCUCCCUGAGAAUGGGAGGAGUGUUAAAGGACAAAAUGAAAACAGGAAAAUAAAAUAGAAGUUAAAGAGGAAAAGAAACAACUCCACUCCCCCCCUCCAAACCAACAAGGGGAGAUUUUGGGGGAAGUGGCAGGGGAGACAUUUGCCCUUAUGGUUAGCACAUCCAUCCAGGAGAAGGAGGGUCACUUCUCCAUGGCCCAACCCAUCUGCAUAUUAGUAAAAAGAUUUGCCGUCUGCCACCCUGUAAACAUGUGCGUCCCAACAGAUGGGUCCCUCCGCCUCCCCCUGCCCUUCCCAUGGGCACAAGGCUUCUUUCCUUUUUAUUUUUUGCAUGGUCCAAGGAUUAAGCGGCUUCCUCGUUAUCUUGUGCACUUCCUGGGGUGGAGUUGGGUGUGUGUGUGUUUCUCUUUGCUGCUUGUCGUUCCAGCGUUUGUUCUUGCCUCACAUAGCGGGGUCCUCUCAUUUAAUUCAGUUUCUUGUUUUUUUUAAA